rnacentral:siRNA from 1 species
AACUGCGGAGUUCUGAUGGGAUCC